GAUGUAGCUCAGUGGUAGAGUGCAUGCUGGCAUGCAUAAUGCCCUGGGUUUGAUCCCCAUUACAGCA
rnacentral:tRNA from 1 species